AUUGAACGCUGGCGGCAGGCCUAACACAUGCAAGUCGAGCGAGCGGCGGACGGGUGAGUAAUGUAUGGGGACUCCCCUAUAGCGGGGGAUAACUACUGGAAACGGUGGCUAAUACCGCAUACUAUCGGAUAACCCAUAUUGGAUUAGCUUGUAGGUGAGGUAACGGCUCACCUAGGCGACGAUCCCUAGCUGGUCUGAGAGGAUGAUCAGCCACACUGGGACUGAGACACGGCCCAGACUCCUACGGAGGCAGCAGUGGGGAAUAUUGCACAAUGGGCGAAAGCCUGAUGCAGCAAUGCCGCGUGUAUGAAGAAGGCCUUCGGGUUGUAAAGUACUGUCAGUCGGGAGGCGUUACCGAAAGAGAAAGCACCGGCUAACUCCGUGCCAGCAGCCGCGGUAAUUC
rnacentral:rRNA from 1 species